AACGAACGCUGGCGGCAGGCUUAACACAUGCAAGUCGAGCGCCGUGGCAACACGGAGCGGCAGACGGGUGCGUAACGCGUGGGAACAUACCCUUUGGUUCGGAAUAACUCAGGGAAACUUGAGCUAAUACCGGAUAAGUGCGAGAGCAGAAAGAUUUAUCGCCGAAGGAUUGGCCCGCGUCUGAUUAGCUAGUUGGUGAGGUAAUGGCUCACCAAGGCUACGAUCAGUAGCUGGUCUGAGAGGAUGAUCAGCCACACUGGGACUGAGACACGGCCCAGACUCCUACGGGAGGCAGCAGUGGGGAAUAUUGGACAAUGGGCGAAAGCCUGAUCCAGCCAUGCCGCGUGAGU
rnacentral:rRNA from 1 species